CGCGCGCAUGCGCGGCAGCUCCCGCUGCUGAAUAGCUGAGAGGCGCACUGGGGCUGCCAGCUGGGCUCGGAGUGCAGCGGCCUCAGGAUGGACAAGGACGUGUUGCACCCUGAAGAGCCUCAUCAUCGGCGAGAGUGGGGUGGGCAAGUACAGCCUGCUCUUGAGGUUCACAGAUGAUACCUUUGAUCCAGAACUUGCAGCAACAAUAGGCAGUUCACUUUACAUCGCUUUCCAGACAACUGGAAUUUGAGGCAACGUCUAUGACAGCGAUCCCUUUGUUUUUACCUGGCGUGUGUUCUCAUCAGACUGCUUGCAGUCACAUCGUGCUUCAGCUCUGUUCUGUAUUUGCUUCUUCCAGAAGUGCAGGAAUCACAUGAACCUGUCCAUCCACAGAUGAAGUGGUAAAUAAACUGCCAUGUUAGAUACAUGACGGUGUACUCUUCAGCCAUAAAGCUUCGGGAAACCCUGUCAUCAGCAACCACGUGGAGGAACCUGUCCAUCCACAGAUGAAGGGAUCAGGAAACUCUGGUAUAUAUACUGAAGGGAAAUGCUUUUUGGCUACCAAAAUAAUGAAAUUAUGUCGUUUGGAGCAACACAGAAGAACCUGUCCAUCCACAAAUGAAGACAUCAAGAAACUCUAGUGUGUACACAAGGCAAAACACUUCAGCCAUCAAAAUCAUGACAUAUGUCACGUGGAGCAACCCAGGUGACCCGCCAAGGCUGCCUCUUCCUCCACAGGCGGAUGGACGCUGUGGCUGCUGCUCCUUCCUGGGCCGUGCCCUGACGCUGCCAACACCACUGCUCCUCUAUUUAUAAGUCUUAAUAGGGUUGCUGACCCAGCUAUAGCUGAACAGCUGACAUGUACCUCAUGCUAAGCCGGGUGCUUCAUAUGUUUCUAACUUGAAAAAUGCUGAGCUACUUACCUUAACACCAUUAACUUUUACUUAAAAGUUUGUUUUUCUUUUUUAAUCCCAGCGAGCUCCAAACAAGUUUUAGAAGGCUCCUCAAAGCCAGCAAAGACUUUAACU